UGACGGUACCUGGAGAAAAAGCAACGGCUAACUACGUGCCAGCAGCCGCGGUAAUACGUAGGUUGCAAGCGUUGUCCGGAUUUACUGGGUGUAAAGGGAGCGUAGGCGGUCUUACAAGUCUGAUGUGAAAGCCCGGGGCUCAACUCCGGUACUGCAUUGGAAACUGUAGGACUAGAGUGUCGGAGGGGUAAGUGGAAUUCCUAGUGUAGCGGUGAAAUGCGUAGAUAUUAGGAGGAACACCAGUGGCGAAGGCGGCUUACUGGACGAUUACUGACGCUGAGGCUCGAAAGCGUGGGGAGCAAACAGGAUUAGAUACCCUG
rnacentral:rRNA from 1 species